CUGGCUCAGAACGAACGCUGGCGGCGUGCUUACACAUGCAAGUCGGAUGCGAACGGCGCUUUCGGGCGUUGAGUAGCAUGGCAGACGGGUGAGGAGCGCGUAUCUGACUGGACUCAGGCUGGGGGAUAGUCCCUCGAGAGGGGGUUGAAUACCGCAUGUGCUCGGUGCUGUGAGGGCAUCGAGGAAAGUUGGCCUCUGCGGGCACGCUGAUGGCCUGAGACAGGGAUGCGUCCUAUUAGCUAGCUGGUGGGGGUAAGGGCCUACCAGGGCGACGAUGGGUAGCUGGUCCUGAGAGGAUGAUCAGCCACACUGGGACUGCGACACGGCCCAGACUCCUACGGGAGGCAGCAGUGGGGAAUUUUGCGCAAUGGGCGCAAGCCUGACGCAGCAACGCCGCGUGCAUGACGACGCCUUUCGAGGUGUAAAGUGCUGUCGACCGGGACGAAGGGGCGAGGGUGAACAGCUUUCGCGCAUGACGGUACCGGUGGAGGAAGCCCCGGCUAACUCCGUGCCAGCAGCCGCGGUAAGACGGAGGGGGCGAGCGUUGUUCGGAAUUACUGGGCGUAAAGCGCGCGUAGGCGGUGCAGCAAGUGGUGCGUGAAAGCCCUCGGCUUAACCGGGGACGGGCGUGCCAAACUGUAGGACUGGAGUGCCGGAGGGGGAGGCGGAAUUCCUGGUGGAGCGGUGAAAUGCGUAGAGAUCAGGAAGAACGUCGGUGGCGAAAGCGGACUCCUGGACGGACACU
rnacentral:rRNA from 1 species